rnacentral:rRNA from 1 species
UACGGAGGGUGCAAGCGUUAUCCGGAUUUACUGGGUUUAAAGGGUGCGUAGGCGGGCUAUUAAGUCAGUGGUGAAAUCCCCGGGGCUCAACCUCGGAACUGCCAUUGAUACUAUUAGUCUUGAAUUAUGUUGAGGUUGGCGGAAUAUAACAUGUAGCGGUGAAAUGCUUAGAUAUGUUAUGGAACACCGAUUGCGAAGGCAGCUGGCUAAACAUAUAUUGACGCUGAUGCACGAAAGUGUGGGUAGCGAACAGG